UACGUAGGGGGCUAGCGUUGUCCGGAAUCAUUGGGCGUAAAGGGCGCGUAGGCGGACAGUUUAGUCAGAGGUGAAAGCCCAGGGCUCAACCUUGGAAUUGCCUUUGAUACUGGCUGUCUUGAGUUCGGGAGAGGUGAGUGGAAUGCCGAGUGUAGAGGUGAAAUUCGUAGAUAUUCGGCGGAACACCAGUGGCGAAGGCGGCUCACUGGCCCGAUACUGACGCUGAGGCACGAAAGCGUGGGGAGCAAACAGG
rnacentral:rRNA from 1 species